rnacentral:rRNA from 1 species
CCUACGGGAGGCUGCAGUGAGGAAUAUUGGUCAAUGGACGGAAGUCUGAACCAGCCAUGCCGCGUGAAGGAUGACUGCCUUAUGGGUUGUAAACUUCUUUUGCAUCAGAGCAAUAAGGCGUACGUGUACGCCGAUGAGAGUAUGUUGCGAAUAAGCAUCGGCUAACUCCGUGCCAGCAGCCGCGGUAAUACGGAGGAUGCGAGCGUUAUCCGGAUUUAUUGGGUUUAAAGGGUGCGUAGGCUGUUUCGUAAGUCAGCGGUGAAAUUCCGGAGCCUAACUCCGGACGUGCCGUUGAUACUGCGAGGCUGGAGUUCCCCUGCCGUGGGAGGAAUGAGUGGUGUAGCGGUGAAAUGCAUAGAUAUCACUCAGAACACCGAUUGCGAAGGCAUCUCACGAAGAGGCAACUGACGCUGAGGCACGAAAGCGUGGGGAUCAAACAGGAUUAGAUACCCCGGUAGUC